GUGGGGAAUAUUGGACAAUGGGCGCAAGCCUGAUCCAGCCAUGCCGCGUGAGUGAUGAAGGCCCUAGGGUUGUAAAGCUCUUUCACCGGUGAAGAUAAUGACGGUAACCGGAGAAGAAGCCCCGGCUAACUUCGUGCCAGCAGCCGCGGUAAUACGAAGGGGGCUAGCGUUGUUCGGAAUUACUGGGCGUAAAGCGCACGUAGGCGGGUAUUUAAGUCAGGGGUGAAAUCCCAGAGCUCAACUCUGGAACUGCCUUUGAUACUGGGUACCUAGAGUAUGGAAGAGGUAAGUGGAAUUCCGAGUGUAGAGGUGAAAUUCGUAGAUAUUCGGAGGAACACCAGUGGCGAAGGCGGCUUACUGGUCCAUUACUGACGCUGAGGUGCGAAAGCGUGGGGAGCAAACAGGAUUAGAAACCCUAGUAGUCC
rnacentral:rRNA from 1 species